GGUCACUGCUAUUGGGAUUCGGCUAAGCCAUGCAAGCGGAGGGCGCGGUCGAAAGAUCGUGGCCCCGCACACUGCUCAGUAACACGUAGUCAACCUACCCUUGGGACGGGGACAACCUCGGGAAACUGAGGCUAGUCCCCGAUAGGUGAGGGACGCUGGAAUGCCUCCUCGCCCAAAGCUCCGGCGCCCAAGGAUGGGACUGCGGUCUAUCAGGCUGUUGGUGGUGUAACGGACCACCAAACCUACGACGGGUACGGGCGAUGGGAGUCGGAGCCCGGAGAUGGGGACUGAGACAAGGCCCCAGGCCCUACGGGGCGCAGCAGGCGCGAAAACUCCGCAAUGCGCGCAAGCGUGACGGGGGAAUCCCAAGUGCCGUUGGUCUUAUGAUCGACGGUUUUUAGGAAGUCUAAGAAGCUUCCAGAAUAAGGGCUGGGCAAGACUGGUGCCAGCCGCCGCGGUAACACCAGCAGCCCAAGUGGUGACCACGAUUAUUGGGCCUAAAGCGCUCGUAGCCGGAUCAGCAAGUCCCUUGUGAAAUCGGGCCGCCCAACGGUUCGGCGUGCAAGGGAUACUGUUGGUCUUGAGGCCGGGAGAGGUCGGAGGUACUCCUGGGGUAGCGGUGAAAUGCUCUAAUCCUAGGGGGACCACCAGUGGCGAAGGCGUCCGACCAGAACGGACCUGACGGUGAGGGGCGAAGGCUAGGGGAGCGAACGGGAUUAGAUACCCCGGUAGUCCUAGCUGUAAAGCAUGCGGGCCAGGUGUCUAGCGCUCCUUGAGGGCGCUAGGUGCCGGAGGGAAGCCGUUAAGCCCGCCGCCUGGGAAGUACGGCCGCAAGGCUGAAACUUAAAGAAAUUGGCGGGGGAGCACCACAAGAGGUGGGACCUGCGGUUC
rnacentral:rRNA from 1 species